UGAGGCCAGCUGACAAAGCAGAGGUAAUUAAUAGGCAGUUACAAUGUGGAAGAUUCUGGAAAGUAGAGUUCGGUCGUCUGAAAUUUAGUCUGACAGAGGAAUAUUAGCAAGAUAAAUGUAUUUGGACCAAGCACUCGAGAGGAAGGGCAUGCUCAAAUCGUUUUUGUAAAAAGUCCCUGGUGGUGUUUGACUCCCUUCUGCGUCCUUCAUGAAACAGUUCUUGAGUGUUACGGUUGGCAAGCGUGUGGGUGGGGGAGAUGUCAUAUGCACCCACUCCAGCUGUACAAGCAAGACACUGCGAGGAUUAGACACUUGUUAGUUAUGAACUUGGGUAUCUGGUCUGUUUCUUUGCCUUUCAAAGGCACUUCCUGGCAGAGAGGUACAAUGGUGCUUUGCAGGAAACCCUGUGCCCGCAGCAUCUGUUCUGCAGCUCGGCAGACCGCGGCUGGCCCUGAGCAUGGCCUGCUAAUUUUCUGGGUCAGGUGUGGCUGUGGUGAGAUGGGUCUCAGCCAGGCUGGGCCUUCACUUGGGAACACCUCUGAAACAUUACUGAUAAGGCUAUAUCCUCCCUGCAGUAGGCAGAAUUUGAAGGGAGCCGCCAUGAUCUGCCUCCUGGUGUUAAUGCCUUUGAAGUGAGCCUGCAUCCGACUUCCCCUUUCUGGCUUGGUUGUCACAUCCUUCAAGGACAUUCCAGCUUCUGAUCACUUUUCGCUUUGCCUCAGCACAGUCGCAUCGAUGCAGCCAGCCACGGCACCACUGCACCAUCUGAGCCCCAUGCCGGAGUAUCCAGUGACUCCUCCUGCAUGUUGGAACCAAGAGUCCUAGGGGAGGAUGACGACUCGGCCAAGUACCCUCCGCCACUUCCCUACCCCCAACCAUCUGUGGGCUAUGUCUCUCUGCUACCAACCAGAAGAUAAUUCCACUGUGCCAAGCGCCCAGAACAUGACCCUGGGCUCCACAUUUAGAAGGGAUAAAGGCUACCUGGAACAUGUCCCCGCAUGUUCAGAGCAGGACAAAUGGGAGGAAGUGAAGGAGCUCGGUUGGGACACGUGAGAAGAGAUGGAAGGAAUAGAGCAGCUUAAAGAAAACUCAUAGAAAACUAAUCUUAAAGGAUCUGAAGGAUUCAUUUAAUUGUAAUGAAAAAGAAAUUAACUUGUUCUGCGAGGCCCUAGAGCUAAGCAGAAACUACAAGGGAACAGAUUUUGGCUCCUCUAAGUAACAACUCAGGUUUCUCAAAAGAUGGAAUGGGCUGUGGUGGGGAGGGGACAGCAAGUAUGGCCAUGGGAUGAGGCUCUCACAGAGGCGAGGGCGGAUACCCUGCACCUCCCCAACAGUGCGUGAAGGGAGGUGUUCACGUUCCCAUUUACUCUGAGUUUCCUAUAUGGGAACAUGAUCACUGCCAAUUUCCUUAUGGUCCCAAGUCACUUUCCCAUAGAAAAACGCACACAGACUUUCCCUUGAAAAGGCUUUCUGUUUGAACAUGGCAGUCUUCUUACUAAUUUAGAAAUGACCAGCCAAUCUUUGGGAUCAGAAACACUAAAAUAUUUCUACAGCAUGGGCGCUCACAUCAAUCCUUUCAGAAACCUCUGUAGGAGUGCUUCUCCGAAUAAUUUUAAAAUCAAAGGGGGAAAAAACCCCAUAGUGUUAGAUUUUCAUUUAAGUUCAAUGUUUAAUUUCUAAGGCGAAAAUCAGUGUAACCAGAAGCACCCAGUAACCAGCAUCCUGAAGGGGAUGUUUUUCAUAUUUUCAGUCUGUUUAACUCCACCCAUUUGAGAAGAUAAGAAGAUGCCUUUUCUAUUUUUAGAUUCUUACCCUCUCCCCAUAUCAUCUAAACUGAGGACAUAGCUCUAAGCUUCAGACUAUGAAACUCGUAGCUGGCUCCCCAGCUUCUGAGCUCUGUUAUGCAAAUGAACUUAGCCAGAAUGAGCAGGUGGUAUUUUACAGACCCAUUUAAAGUCUGAUACAUCUCACCCUCCAUGAUUUUAAAGGGACUUUUCGUUUGUGAUUCAGCUACAGCUUGAAUUCAUUGUUCUUUUACAACCCUGAUUAUAUACAGACCCACAAAUACCAUAUGUGAGGCUCAGUGCUAAUUUGUGUACACGUCUCACUUUUAUGGGAUCUAAUUUGAAAGAUCUUUUAGAAGCAAAAUUGGAAGACAGAAGGUCCACCUCACAUAGUACCAAGUCUGCACUUUUGAACAGAGGCCAUUAGGGCCUUUUUUUCCUAUAAAAAUGAGUUACUGGGGAAGACUCAACGUGGACAUUGAUCUCUGGCAGUUACAACAAGGCAGGAGGAGGGCAAGUCCUCUCAUGCCUGCUUCAUUUAUCAGGAUGCGUUUUGCAUGGCACCAGGGCUGGUCAGAAGCACCCAGGCAGGCACUCUAGUUUCACACAUGUGAAUCUCUGAUAAGGCCAUUGCUGCGAACUGCUCACGUGCUUCUGUAACUAAUGGAUCUGACUUGGUCUGUGAUGCUGCAAGGACAAUAUCAAUACAGGAAAAGAACUUGACUGAAGUUUUCAGCAAUAUUCUGCCAGGAUAUUCAUUCUAAUCUCUGCUCAAAAGCAAGGAACGUGAUUAAGUUGCUCACAAAAUAAUAUUUAAGUCAGCAAUUAUUCGAUGCAGUACUCCAGUUCUGGUAAUGGUAAUUUCAAAUGAUCCCAAAUAAUAAGCUGACAAUGUCCAGAAAUUCAGAUUAUGGUCAUCUGACCCAUACUACCUUGGAGAGCAAAGUUCCUAGCCAUUUGCCUUUAUGCCACAUUCUCAAGUUUAGGCCCCUUGAAUAUUCUAGUUCUCUGAUGGGGUAAAGGGACAAAUACAGGACUUCCAUGCUAUUCUGUCACCCUGCUAGGGCUGUCUACAAUAAUCCAUGUUCCUUGGAUGGGCUGAAACAUGGCUUUUCUGUAUGAUACCAGCACUGGCUAUAUGUGGAAUCUGGGGGUCGUCAUUCUACUCUCAACCUACUUCCACUGCCAACAUCCUUGUGUUAUUUGUAUACAUGUUAGUACAAAUAUAUUUGCUGAAUGAGUUCCCUCUAAAUAGGCUGAAAGCUCUUCUGUGAGGAUGAGCUUAUUCAUCUUUUUGCCUGCCACAACACAUGGCCCACAGGAAACUUUAAAUUCACAAGUGUUAAAUCCAUAAUCCCUGCUAGACUUUCCAUCAUGAGAGCCAGGUUGACUUGCUCCCGGGGGCCAAACCCUAGAGCAUGUCUACAGAGGCUCUCUGGAAACUGACAAAUCUGAAAGGCUUUGUUCUCUAAAGAAUUUACACCUGUAAAGAGUAAUAGCUAGCAUGAGUGCUUUCUGUGGGCCAGACAGGCAUGUAAUGCUCAGCACAUACCUCUUAGGAAGCAGUGUUAGAUGAAGCCUGUGUCUCUGGUCAAUCACCCAGAGGAGCUAGGAUUCCAGCCACAGCUGCAUUCUGUAGCCACUGCUGAUUUGAUAACUCGAGGACUGCCAACCUGAAGACUAUGUAUCUUAAGUCUGUCUGACAGCACCAAGAGGAAAUGACACACCAAGAGCGCAACACUGAAGAGAGGUGGAGAUGAUAACCUGACCAUGUCAGAAGCCAAGAAUGAGUAGAAAGGGUCCUAGACACAGUCCCUCCAUCUCGAACUCACUAGGACUUUUCAGUAUUUUUGCUCUUGUCAAAAAGAAUCUCAAAAGGGAUGUGACUUUGUGGUAAACGUCAAAAAAUUAGAAUUCUUUGGGUGUAUACCGAGUUAAUGGGUGCAGCACACCAACAUGGCACAUGUAACAAACCUACACAUUGUGUACCUGUACCCUAGAACUUAAAGUAUAAUAAAUAAAUAAAGAUUAGAAUUGUAAAGUAACAAAGACCCCCUGAUCCUCGAGGAGAAAAACAUCCUGUUCUUAGAAAAUCGUGUUAAGUGCUGUUCAUUCUUUUCCCAGAGGAAGCCCAUUGCAUGCAACAGUGAACAAUCACAGCUUUCACUGGGACAAUAGCUCCGGAGCUUCCUAACUGACACUGCAUUUCCCUCCUAACCUGAAACUAAGAACCUUGUGUUCCCUACAUGGAAAGCUCUCCCACCUUCUUACCAUCAGCCUCUAUUCACAACAUCCUCUGAGACCUGCUCCAGACUCGUUUCCUUCCUGGAGGAAGUCUACUCCAAUGCACCUCACGUAAUCCAGCCUUGCUACUGCUUUGCUUAGGGGGUUUCUUAGGGGUUGUGGAGGGCUUGUAUUACGUGAUUUGUUGUUUUCCUGUUUUGUGGUUUUAAUGCCUGCUAUUUCCAGGUGGGUGGUGAGCUCAAAAAGAAUAAGGUAAGCAAAAGGGCUAUAAAUGAGUGCUACUGUUGAGAAAACUCCCCUCCUCUUUAUGCUGAGUCACUUACAGAGCCUCCUCUUGAGCUGGGGACACAGAAGGCCCUCAAAUUUUACUGAAUAAGCUCUUCUAGUUUUCUUUCUGACCAUCCCUUAAGUCAAGGGUCUACAAGCUACAGGUAGGCCAAAUCUGGCCCCCUGCCUGUUUUUAUAGAUAAAGUUUUAUUAGAACACACCUAUGCCUAUUCAUUUAUGUACUGUCUACAGCUCAGUGGGGUUCUCAACUGAGGGUGAUUUUUGUUCCCUACGCAAUAUUUGGCAAUGUCUGGGAAUAUUGCUGAUUUUCAUGACUGGGAGUGGUGUGCUCCUGGCAUCUAGUGGGUAGAAGCCAGGAAUGCUGCUCAACUUCCUACAGUGCACAGGACAACUCCCCAAAGCAAAGAAUUAUCUGGCCUCAAAUCUCAGUAGUGCUGAAGUUGAGAAAUCCCAGUAAAGGUGCUUUUUUUGCUCUAUCAGGUCAGAGUUGAGUAGUCUGUGACAGAGACUGUAUGUGGCUCUCAAAGCCCAAAAUAUUAACUGAGCCCUUACAGGAGAAGUUUGAACCCGUCUUAAAUGUUGGCAUUUUCAUAGGGUUGGAUGGCUGCUGCCCAUCCCCCGCUCCUCAACAAUUCCCCUGGCAAUCACAUACCACCUCUACGGAUAACUUCCAAAUCAGUACCUUCAACCCACAUGCAUCUACUUAAGUCCAGACCAGUGCUACUCAAAGUGGGUUCAUGCAGUCCAUGAUGAGAUAAAUACAGAAGCUGAAAGCAAGAUCUUUUUGACAUUGCCAUAACAUCAAACAUGUGACCAAUAGAUUUUUUCUUACUGAACAGGCUAUUGACAAGUUUGGGAGCUGUAUGCUGUUGAGCUUACAUGGGGGUUGUGUGUGGCCCAAGCUCCAUAUUCCUUGUGCACAGCAGUACUGUACAAUGAAUUGGAAAUGGAAACAAAAAGACAGUGGCCCUUCCCAGAGAGUUUGAGAAGCAUUGGCCUUUUCUUUCCCUUAUAUUCCAGACCUCUCUACUUUGCUUCCCUCAGAUAGUCAUAAACCUUGUCCCAGAUGGGAUUUGCCAUUUUUCUUCCCCCUGCCUGUCCCAGGCAUCUGCUUCCCCCACUAUGCUUUCCUGGUAAAUGGCAGAAGUCACUCAAUUCCAAAACCUAGCUAUCAUCCCUUCUCCCCGCCUCCCUCGCUACAUCAAGUCCUAUAGUUCUAUCAGUCUGUCUGGACUGUCUCUCCUCAUUCAUCAUCCCUGCUCCAUCAGCCUUAUUCCUGGCCCCCAUGAUCUUUCUGCUGCACAAGGACAUUUGCCCUUUACCUACCUCCCUGCCUCCCUGGUCCCUCCACCUUAUCUUCCAGUCUACACCAGAGUGAGGUACCUAGAAUCCUCAUGUAACCUUAUCACUCUCUGCUUUAAAACCCUUUCAAGGGUUUUAAGGGCAGGCCUGCCCCUACAGCCUGGAGAUAAGAUAAAAUAGCUUGUGAAGCCCACCUCCGCAAUCUGGAGGGCCUGCUACACUUGCAGCUGAAUCUCCUGCCAGUUCCCCAUGGCAUCCUGUGUACACCUCAAACCUAGAAACUAUCACACUGGAUUGUUAUCACUACUUAUUUAACUCUUCCCCAACCAGGCUAUAAUCUGGGAGAGAGAACGGAGAUCUUGUUCAUAGCAGAUACUGAAAAGUUGAAUGGAUAAAUAAAUGAGAAAGCUUGAAAACCAUUGCUGUGCCUCUUCCUCUUCAACCCUGCCCCCUCUGCUGAAAAUGCAAGAUGGAAUCUAUGAUUCUUACAGAAGAAAACAAACAUGUAACAAGAAACUGUCUCCUUUUCGUGUGGCAAAGGCUAUCUUUCAUUUUUCCAUCUGUAAGCCAUUUUAACCUUCCUCUAUCCAUACAGGGUAAUAGUUUAACAGUGUAUCAGUGCAAGCCAGAGUAAUUCUACAGGACCAUACAGAUCUUUGGCAAAUAUACAGAUAAAAAAUAUAGAUUUUUAAGGCAAAUAUUUGUGGACAUGCUGUUUGAAAGUGAUACGACUCCUAUCCCUGACUGCAAUGUGCAAACAGUGUCUUAGGUAAGACUCAAGGAAAAUUAGACAAUACAGUCCCCUGAAUUCAAACUCACUGAUUCUACUUAAAUCAAACUUAAGGAAAGAGGCCCUGGAGCAACAAUGAACUUGCUCUUUUCUUGUUUCAAAAUGAGAUGUGUUAAGGGAGAACUUGGCUCAUUUGGCCUAAAAUGUACAAGGGAGCUUCAAGAAACUAUAAUGGACAGUCUACAGGAAAGGGUUGUUUGGAAGAUCAAUAUGUAACUGGCACAGAUCAGAUACGUGGGGAAAAAUAAACCUAUCAAAACAUUUGCCAAACCAAACCAAAUGAAACACCGAUUGUAUGGGCCAAGCAAACAGCUAACUCACUGCUGUUCCUGGCCUUAGAGGGGAAAGAGCUGGGCCAAAACUAUGAGCCAGUCCUGUAAGACGCAGAAGCCCUGAUACACUGGGUACCAGUUACCUUCAUGUAAAAUGGAGAUAAUCAUCCCAAACUUUAUAAUAACCACAGGUUGUCAGAGCUGAGUGUGAAAAUCUACAGUGCUAUGUAAACACAAGGCAGUAUCUUUUCCCCAAAUGAGAAACCAGACUGUCUACUGAAAUACAGGGUGGAGGGGAAACUAUUCGAAUUGCCAAAA